GUAGCACGGUUGUACUUUGGUCCGGGCGGUGCGUCGUCUGGUUAAAAGGGAACGUGGUGCGGCAGAAGCCAAUGCCACGACUGCCCCCGCAACUGUAAGCGGCGAGCGAAACCGGCAUAUGCCACUGUCAUGAAUGCCAUGAUGGGAAGGUCCGGUUUAGUGUCGACCCGCAAGUCAGGAGACCUGCCGAAGUGAUCACCCUGCU
rnacentral:ncRNA from 2 species